UACAGAGGUCCCAAGCGUUGUUCGGAUUCACUGGGCGUAAAGGGUGCGUAGGUGGCUUGGUAAGUUCGAUGUGAAAUCUCCGGGCUUAACUCGGAAAUGGCAUUGAAUACUAUUGAGCUGGAGGUUUGGAGGGGGGACUGGAAUUCUCGGUGUAGCAGUGAAAUGCGUAGAUAUCGAGAGGAACACCAGUGGCGAAGGCGAGUCCCUGGACAACACCUGACACUGAGGCACGAAAGCUAGGGGAGCAAACAGG
rnacentral:rRNA from 1 species